rnacentral:rRNA from 1 species
UACAGAGGUCUCAAGCGUUGUUCGGAUUCAUUGGGCGUAAAGGGUGCGUAGGCGGCUCUGUAAGUCGGGUGUGAAAUCUUGGAGCUUAACUCCGAAACUGCAUUUGAUACUGCCGUGCUUGAGGACUGGAGAGGAGACUGGAAUUUACGGUGUAGCGGUGAAAUGCGUAGAUAUCGUAAGGAAGACCAGUGGCGAAGGCGGGUCUCUGGACAGUUCCUGACGCUGAGGCGCGAAGGCCAGGGGAGCAAACGGG